GAUGAACGCUAGCGGCAGGCCUAACACAUGCAAGUCGAGCGGGAUUAGUUGGUAGCUUGCUACUAACUAUGAGAGCGGCGCACGGGUGCGUAACGCGUAUGCAACCUACCUUAUACUGGGGUAUAGCCCGGAGAAAUUCGGAUUAAUCCCCCAUAGUAUCAUUGAUUCGCAUGUUUUAAUGAUUAAAGGCUACGGUAUAAGAUGGGCAUGCGUCCUAUUAGCUAGAUGGUGAGGUAACGGCUCACCAUGGCGACGAUAGGUAGGGGGCCUGAGAGGGUGGUCCCCCACACUGGUACUGAGACACGGACCAGACUCCUACGGGAGGCAGCAGUGAGGAAUAUUGGUCAAUGGGCGCAAGCCUGAACCAGCCAUGCCGCGUGCAGGAAGACGGUCCUAUGGAUUGUAAACUGCUUUUAUUUGGGAAUAAACCUCUUUACGUGUAGAGAGCUGAAGGUACCAAAUGAAUAAGCACCGGCUAACUCCGUGCCAGCAGCCGCGGUAAUAC
rnacentral:rRNA from 1 species